UCUAGCCAUGCCGCGUGAGUGAUGAAGGCCCUAGGGUUGUAAAGCUCUUUCGGCUGGGAAGAUAAUGACGGUACCAGCAGAAGAAGCCCCGGCUAACUCCGUGCCAGCAGCCGCGGUAAUACGGAGGGGGCUAGCGUUGUUCGGAAUUACUGGGCGUAAAGCGCACGUAGGCGGACCGGAAAGUUGGGGGUGAAAUCCCGGGGCUCAACCCCGGAACUGCCUUCAAAACUAUCGGUCUGGAGUUCGAGAGAGGUGAGUGGAAUUCCGAGUGUAGAGGUGAAAUUCGUAGAUAUUCGGAGGAACACCAGUGGCGAAGGCGGCUCACUGGCUCGAUACUGACGCUGAGGUGCGAAAGCGUGGGGAGCAAACAAGAUUAGAUACCCUGGUAAUCCACGCCGUAAACAAUGAAUGCCAGUCGUCGGGCAGCAUGCUGUUCGGUGACACACCUAACGGAUUAAGCAUUCCGCCUGGGGAGUACGGUCGCAAGAUUAAAACUCAAAGGAAUUGACGGGGGCCCGCACAAGCGGU
rnacentral:rRNA from 1 species